CACUAUGCCUAGCCAUAAACAUUGAUAGCGUACUACAUCUGCUAUCCGCCCGGGGACUACGAGCAUCAGCUUGAAACCCAAAGGACUUGGCGGUGCUUUAGAUCCACCUAGAGGAGCCUGUUCUAGAACCGAUUACCCCCGUUCAACCUCACCUUUCCUUGUUUUCUCCGCCUAUAUACCACCGUCGUCAGCUUACCCUGUGAAGGACCAAUAGUAAGCAAGAUUGGCAUCGCCCAAAACGUCAGGUCGAGGUGUAGCGUAUGGAAAGGGAAGAAAUGGGCUACAUUCCCUAAUACAGUGAAUUACGAACGAUAUAUUGAAAUAUAUACCUGAAGGAGGAUUUAGCAGUAAGCAGAAAAUAGAGCGUUCCGCUGAAACCGGCCCUGAAGCGCGCACACACCGCCCGUCACUCUCCCCAAGCUCAUAACUUCAAAUACCUAAAGCCUUAAAACUGCAAAGGGGAGGCAAGUCGUAA
rnacentral:rRNA from 1 species